UUGAACGGCUGGCGGCAUGCCUUACACAUGCAAGUCGAACGGCAGCACGGGUGCUUGCACCUGGUGGCGAGUGGCGAACGGGUGAGUAAUAUAUCGGAACGUACCUUAUCGUGGGGGAUAACGCAGCGAAAGCUGCGCUAAUACCGCAUACGCCCUGAGGGGGAAAGCGGGGGACCGUAAGGCCUCGCGCGAUUAGAGCGGCCGAUAUCUGAUUAGCUUGUUGGUGGGGUAAAAGCCCACCAAGGCGACGAUCAGUAGCUGGUCUGAGAGGACGAUCAGCCACACUGGGACUGAGACACGGCCCAGACUCCUACGGGAGGCAGCAGUGGGGAAUUUUGGACAAUGGGGGCAACCCUGAUCCAGCAAUGCCGCGUGAGUGAAGAAGGCCUUCGGGUUGUAAAGCUCUUUUGUCAGGGAAGAAACAGCAGCUCUAACACAGUCUGCGAAUGACGGUACCUGAAGAAUAAGCACCGGCUAACUACGUG
rnacentral:rRNA from 1 species